rnacentral:rRNA from 1 species
UACGGAGGGUGCAAGCGUUAUCCGGAUUCACUGGGUUUAAAGGGUGCGUAGGCGGAUAGGUAAGUCCGUGGUGAAAUCCUGCAGCUUAACUGCAGAACUGCCGUGGAUUCUAUCUAUCUUGAAUGUCGUGGAGGUUAGCGGAAUAUGUCAUGUAGCGGUGAAAUGCUUAGAUAUGACAUAGAACACCCAUUGCGAAGGCAGCUAACUACGCGAUAAUUGACGCUGAUGCACGAAAGCGUGGGGAUCAAACAGG